rnacentral:rRNA from 1 species
UACUGCUCAGUAACACGUGGCUAACCUGCCCUUGGGACGGGAUCACCCCCGGGAAACUGGGGCUAAUCCCCGAUAGGUGAAGAACUCUGGAAUGAGUCUUCGCCCAAAAGGCGUCGGAUCAUGCUUUCGGCGUCGCCCAAGGAUGGGGCCGCGACCGAUCAGGUUGUUGGUGAGGUAACGGCCCACCAAGCCUAUAACCGGUGCGGGCCGUGAGAGCGGGAGCCCGGAGAUGGGCACUGAGACAAGGGCCCAGGUCCUACGGGGCGCAGCAGUCGCGAAACCUUUGCAAUACACGAAAGUGUGACAGGGUCAUCCCGAGUGCCGACCGCUGAGGUUGGCUUUUACCCAGUCUAGAAAGCUGGGGGAAUAAGGAGAGGGCAAGUCUGGUGUCAGCCGCCGCGGUAAUACCAGCUCUCCGAGUGGUGUGGACGUUUAUUGGGCCUAAAGCAUCCGUAGCUGGCUGAUCAAGUCCCCUGUUAAACCCACCGAUUUAAUCGUUGGCUUGCGGGGGAUACUGUUCGGCUAGGGGACGAGAGAGGCAGACGGUAUUCCCGGGGUAGGGGUGAAAUCCUAUAAUCCCGAGAAGACCACCAGUGGCGAAGGCUGUCUGCUAGAACGCGCCCGACGGUGAGGGAUGAAAGCUGGGGGAGCGAACCGGAUUAGAUACCCGGGUAGUCCCAGCUGUAAACGAUGCAGGCUAGGUGUUUGGACGGCCACGCGCCGUUCUAGUGCCGCAGGGAAGCUGUUAAGCCUGCCGCCUGGGGAGUACGAUCGCAAGAUUGAAACUUAAAGGAAUUGGCGGGGGAGCACA